rnacentral:tRNA from 1 species
CGCCGCGAUGGACCGGGGCCGCCGCUGGACCUGCGUGGACCAGCGCGCGGCGGGCCCGCUCGUCGUCUCCGGCUCGGGCCCGGAGGCGGCGA